rnacentral:rRNA from 1 species
CCCCUGUCGGCAGCCUAUACAUGCAGUCGUACGCUUCUUUUUCCACCGGAGCUUGCUCCACCGGAAAAAGAAGAGUGGCGAACGGGUGAGUAACACGUGGGUAACCUGCCCAUCAGAAGGGGAUAACACUUGGAAACAGGUGCUAAUACCGUAUAACAAUCGAAACCGCAUGGUUUUGAUUUGAAAGGCGCUUUCGGGUGUCGCUGAUGGAUGGACCCGCGGUGCAUUAGCUAGUUGGUGAGGUAACGGCUCACCAAGGCCACGAUGCAUAGCCGACCUGAGAGGGUGAUCGGCCACAUUGGGACUGAGACACGGCCCAAACUCCUACGGGAGGCAGCAGUAGGGAAUCUUCGGCAAUGGACGAAAGUCUGACCGAGCAACGCCGCGUGAGUGAAGAAGGUUUUCGGAUCGUAAAACUCUGUUGUUAGAGAAGAACAAGGAUGAGAGUAACUGUUCAUCCCUUGACGGUAUCUAACCAGAAAGCCACGGCUAACUACGUGCCAGCAGCCGCGGUAAUACGUAGGUGGCAAGCGUUGUCCGGAUUUAUUGGGCGUAAAGCGAGCGCAGGCGGUUUCUUAAGUCUGAUGUGAAAGCCCCCGGCUCAACCGGGGAGGGUCAUUGGAAACUGGGAGACUUGAGUGCAGAAGAGGAGAGUGGAAUUCCAUGUGUAGCGGUGAAAUGCGUAGAUAUAUGGAGGAACACCAGUGGCGAAGGCGGCUCUCUGGUCUGUAACUGACGCUGAGGCUCGAAAGCGUGGGGAGCAAACAGGAUUAGAUACCCUGGUAGUCCACGCCGUAAACGAUGAGUGCUAAGUGUUGGAGGGUUUCCGCCCUUCAGUGCUGCAGCUAACGCAUUAAGCACUCCGCCUGGGGAGUACGACCGCAAGUUGAACUCAAGGAAUUGACGGGGCCGCACAAGCGGUGGAGCAUGUGGUUUAAUUCGAAGCAACGCGAGAACCUUACCAGGUCUUGACAUCCUUU